UACGUAGGGUGCGAGCGUUGUCCGGAAUUAUUGGGCGUAAAGGGCUCGUAGGCGGUCUGUUGCGUCAGGAGUGAAAACUCGGGGCUUAACCCCGAGCCUGCUUCUGAUACGGGCAGACUAGAGGUAUGCAGAGGAGAGUGGAAUUCCUGGUGUAGCGGUGAAAUGCGCAGAUAUCAGGAAGAACACCCGUGGCGAAGGCGGCUCUCUGGGACGGUACUGACGCUGAGACGCGAAAGCGUGGGGAGCGAACAGG
rnacentral:rRNA from 1 species